rnacentral:rRNA from 1 species
CGGGUGAGUAACACGUGGAUAACCUACCUAUAAGACUGGGAUAACUUCGGGAAACCGGAGCUAAUACCGGAUAAUAUAUUGAACCGCAUGGUUCAAUAGUGAAAGACGGUUUUGCUGUCACUUAUAGAUGGAUCCGCGCUGCAUUAGCUAGUUGGUAAGGUAACGGCUUACCAAGGCAACGAUGCGUAGCCGACCUGAGAGGGUGAUCGGCACACUGGAACUGAGACACGGUCCAGACUCCUACGGGAGGCAGCAGCC